GCUACGGGCGGCAGCAGUGGGGAAUAUUGGGCAAUGGGCGCAAGCCUGACCCAGCAACGCCGCGUGAAGGAAGAAGGCUUUCGGGUUGGAAACUUCUUUUAUCAGGGACGAAGCAAGUGACGGGACCGGAUGAAUAAGCGACGGCUAACUACGUGCCAGCAGCCGCGGUAAUACGGAGGUGGCAAGCGUUCUCCGGAUUUACUGGGUGUAAAGAGCGUGUAGGCGGGAGUGCAAGUCAGAUGUGAAAACUAGGGGCUCCACCCCUAGCCUGCCUUUGAAACUGUACUUCUUGAGUGCUGGAGAGGCAAUCGGAAUUCCUUGUGUAGCGGUGAAAUGCGUAGAUAUCCGGAGGAACCCCAGUGGCGAAGGCAUCUCACGAAUCCGCGAUUGACGCUGAUGCACGAAAGCGUGGGUAUCAAACAGGAUUAGAUACCCUUGUAGUC
rnacentral:rRNA from 1 species